rnacentral:misc_RNA from 1 species
CGCACGGCUCUGCGAACCAGGGAUCAGCGGCAAGAAACAUGGAAUCCUUUGUGGCGUUCUGAAAGUGAGAUCGGUAUGUAUGCCACUACAUUCUGCAAAUGCCCGCGAUUCGACUAACUGUACUGAUUGGUUUAAAUCAGUGAAAGGUAACGCACUUUUUGCAUUUUUUCUAUAUGUAAGGUUAUAUCUUUGCAAUAGAUCUUUUAAUUAUAUUUCUGAUAUCGGAGAACAUCUCUUUAUUUUUUACAAAAGAAACGAUAACAUUUGCUCUUUGGUCGAUCGGGGUGAUUGAGCCUCAAGAGUUUGAAUUACUUCGUUAAAAAUGUCUAAUAAACUAUAUCAAUUUAAUGGCAAUUUCUUGCUUGAAACUUGAUCUUUCUCGAUGUAAAUAUAGAGACAUUAAUAAUUUUUAAGCUUAACGAUAAUUGAGGAAGAAGACAAUUUUUCAUGGAUUGUCCUUGAAACUCAAAUAACAGAAUUUUAAUUAAGAUUGGGUAUGAAUGAUAUAUCAUUUUGAAAUAUUCUAAAUGCGAUCUAAUUUUUCGCGCAUUUGGCUUCUUUAAUCUACGCGUCAGCUCGUGUCUUUUAUUUUCGCCUCUUCCGCCUCGAGUUUGCGCCUCCUGUAGAAAUUAGUUCACGUCGAUCCGGAAUAGGUCGUGGGGCCUCUGCGGAACGUGUGCUUCCUUAUUGAUUCGAUCGGCGUUACGUCCCCGUACGAAAAUAAAUUCGUACUAAAUCGUCGUCGUUCUCGUCGUCUCCGGUAUCGAACCGCGCUGCGCGCGCCAUAUCGCUUAUUUCCGUCACAAAAUCGAUCGGCCGGUUGCUAUUAUCACGCUGACUUUUUCCACGGGUGUCGUAGAGCACGUGUUUGUACCGGGAUGGAUCCCGUCGCUUUGACGAGAGAGAGAGAGAGAGUGAAUGAGUGAGUGAGUGAGAGGGUUGUUCCAUUACGGCUAAAUCACAACGACGACUUCGACAGCUGUCACUUAUCCGAUGCCCGCGCGAUGUCCUAUUUUGGAUGUCGACCCGUAAUUGACUACGAAAAUUUUCGACGUAUUUUCGCACCAUGUCGUGGCUCCUUUUGCGAGGAAGGAAACUUCAGUGAGACCCGUAACUUUAAGAGUUCUCGGUGAAUUUGUGUAAUUUAUGCGCGAUCGAAGAGUUCUUUCGAGGUGUGUCCCUGGGAAAAAAAACCCCUGGGAAGAGUCGAGCGAUAUUGGUAGGAAGUAUCGAGCAUUUGAAGCGAGUAUCGAGUGGAAAUGUUAUUCCUGCGAAAAUAUCGAGCAGCAUAAAUGCAAUUUUGCAACAUGUAUAAAUUAUUCCGAUUCCUAUUACACAUAUAUUAUUUUUACGUUUUAAUGUUUGUUGCUUUUUCCUUUUGUUUGAUAUGUACGCGGUUAAAUCGAAACAUCGAUAUGCUGUUAAAUUCAGCACAUUUUUAAUUGCCACGUUGAAUGCUUCUGCGAGCGUCGUGCAUAAUGAGCAUUGUCAUAAAAGGAAAUUAAUUUCUUCCAUUACACGGGAAUUAAGCAAGCUCCCGACCGAAUGUCGGAUGAGAUGCGGUCGUCUCCCCUUUCAACAUCGAACGCCGCCGGUUAUAUUUUCGCCGGCCCCCCCUCACCCUUUUCUGUCCCUUUGGCAAUAUGCAGCGCGCCAGUUGCGGCCGUAAUUCUCUUCAUGGCCGGGAAAUAAUUGCAUCCGCGUUUCAUUGUGUCCGCGGGCUUUAUUUCCGCAACGCGUGUUACCCUUUUACAACUGUUUAUAUAUCCGUGUCGAUAACCUUCUCUCAUGUAUCGAGUACUCUGGUUAAGGCGACCUAAAAUUGAGGGGAUAGUUGGAGAGAAAGCGAUGCUUGCUUUGAGAAAAUAUGUUUAUAUUUUUUUAUUUACAAAUAAGUAUAUAUUCUAAAAAUAUUUUCAUACAUCACAGAAUCUUUAAUCUACUCUGCAAAUCCAAGUGUGCAAAAAGCGCCUCAUUCAUGUGUGUGUGUGACUUAGUUUUCCGCAAAAAUAACAGCACAAUGUGUUAAAUUAUACGUUUAAAUAUGUAAAUUUAUCUUUUUAUGCAAUAGUGUUAUUUUUAUAUGAAAACUAAAUCACACACGAACAAGAUAUUUUUUACUCGAGUUUUGAAUGUGAUCCUUAGAGUAUUUAUCUUAAAAAUAUUUAGAGACGAGUACAAUUCUCAAUUGAUGCAUUUAAGGUGUACAUUGAAUUGUAAGAUGGCAGCUUUACUAUUCUUUUUUUAAAACAAGUUUCGCAUUAAGGGGCAGGUUGUUUCGAGAAAGGCCAUUAAUUGCCACAGAUAGUAAAUGGAACUGUUCUAAAUAUCGACAGCGCGAGAGCACUCCACUUUUAUUGGGGUUUAAUUAACGCCGAAGGGGAAUGCGGAGGGUUGAAAAUGUAGGCGAGUUUAUCCCCGCGAAUCUAAAUUUCAGGAGUGCUAUCGACCCUUUUCCGCAGAGCGUCUCGGGAUUCACAUGAGCCCGGACGCCAUUGCCCCUCGUUAUUUUUAUACUUAUGCAGAUCUCGAGAUUUGUUGGAGGUUGCGAUUUGCAAUGCAAAGCCCCGGCGUAGUCGAGGGAUAUUGUUCGCGAACUCACAUUUAAUUAAGGAAAACCCGACGAAUUUAUUAGUAUUUUGUAAGGACAAUUUCAAAUCUGAAUUAAAGACUCGUUGAGAUAUUUAACAUAGUUAUUAUUCCACGAUUACCAGUUUUUAUCCAUUGACUGGUUACUCUUGGAGAAAAUUAAUUACAUAUUUAGUAACAUUGUAUAUCUCUCUUAUUGCAUGGAACGAUCGAUGUAAAUGUCUAUGUGCAUGUUUAUGAGAGCUUCAAAAAUUAUUAAUACUCAUUAUUAAUUAAUUACAUAUAUUAUAUUAAUUUGAAUUAGACAGCGCAUAGUAUUUUAUAAAAAAGGCGAAAAGAGAAUCUAUUUUGAGCUAAUCAAAACUAACAUUAAAAAACCUGUAUAUGUAUUAAAUUCUUCGUCGACUUUCGUAAAACAAGAAUUUGAAAUUUAUUUAAAAAAAUAAUAUGGAAUUUAUAGAGCAUUCUAUUUAGUGCAUGUAUAAUUGGAAUCAAGAAAAGUGUGUUUAUAAAAGAUGAUAAAUUUAAAAGUUUCAAAAUAUGUCUGGUUUAGUAUAGAUAUUAAGAGGGUCAUGCUCGUGUCAUUUAAUGUUACUUAUAAUUAAUGGCCUGAGGGCGAGGGUGACAAUAGCGAGUGGCGUCCCGCGUGUACUUUUCUGGAAAAUUAAUUUGGUAAAUGUGACCGGGGCCGCUGGUACGUCGUCGCCUAUGUAGCUGUCGCGAGAAUGAUCACCUAGUAAUAUUGCAUCUACAUACAGAAUGCUCUGGAUAAUGUUUUUUUUCUUCUAACUAGACAGUAUUCCAUGAAAAUUUCAAAACGACUUUUUUCAUGCAGAGAAAUUUCAUAUUCAAUUUUUUCGAUUUUAGAUUUAGCUUCUAUAACUUAAAAUUUUAUUAAUAUUGUAUAAUAUAAUUAAAAGAUUUUUAUCAUCUAUAUACGUUAUUAAAUUUUAUGUAAUUUAUUAAUAUGCCAUUUUUAUAAAUCCUUAUGACUAAAAAAUCGAUUUUUUGACGAUGAAACGUACGACUUUUUGCCGAGAGAAAGUAUGCAACAUCAGGGACCACCCUCUAUGUACAAGAAUUACCACUGCAGUGAUUAUACGGAUUGCAUAUUGCGCACGCCCGUUUGCAUGUUGGUCCAUGCAUCGUGCCUUUCGUAGAGAUGCUUAAUACCUGCGUCGCGUGUUUUAGCAUUUACGUACAUUUUAUAUAUACAUAAAAAAAAAUAAAGAAACGAGGAACUUUUUAUAAUGGUGUCUCGCGUACGACAAAUAAAUAACGAGAUUAACGCAUUUCGAAAGAAAAUUUAGUGGUACGAUACAGGAGGAAGGUGAUUUAUGCACCCCAUUUCGCGGAAAAUAUAACGGCUAUAUAUUCAAAACGUUUCGAUAUAUCGAGAGAUUCUUUCGGGUCCCCAUAUUUCAUGCAAAAAUUCGAAAACGUAUCUCGCGUAGCAAUCGCGCAAACAGCAUAGUCGAUUGAACUAUCCGUCAAAGAAUUAAAAAAGCAA